UUAGCCUUUGAAAUCUCUCAACUCAGUAUGCUUAGGCUUUUGUUGGCUUAUCAGUCACAGAAGUGAUCACUGCAAGCAUAACAGUUGUUAUAGGAACAACCUUGAAUUACUUUUUAGACAAUAGAAUUAAUAGAGCAGAGAUCCUUUUCACUGGCGUUGGCUGCUUCUUGGUUGCAGUUUGCCUUGCUUCUACUGUCCACUCAUCUAAUGCAGCUGAUAAUAAAGAAAAGCUUGAAGGUUUUUCAUCUAAAGAGGGGUGUUUGGGAAAAGCACUCUCAUUGGACUGUCC